AACCCGUGCCCUCUAUGGGCGUUUCCUCCCUAGCCUUGGCCGGGCGGGUUCCGCCCGCCCGGCCCCUUUUGGGCGAGG
rnacentral:sRNA from 1 species